rnacentral:rRNA from 1 species
UACGUAGGGUGCAAGCGUUGUCCGGAAUUAUUGGGCGUAAAGAGCUUGUAGGCGGUUUGUCGCGUCUGCUGUGAAAUUUCGGGGCUCAACCCCGAACUUGCAGUGGGUACGGGCAGACUAGAGUGUGGUAGGGGAGACUGGAAUUCCUGGUGUAGCGGUGAAAUGCGCAGAUAUCAGGAGGAACACCGGUGGCGAAGGCGGUUCUCUGGGCCUGUACUGACGCUGAGGAACGAAAGCGUGGGGAGCGAACAGG